GCAGAUGAGCGUGUCUACGGUCCGAGCGUUCAACAGCGUUCGGUGAAAAGGGAACGCGGUGCUUCUUCGGAAAAAUCCGCGACUGCCCCCGCAACUGUGAGUGGCGAGCGACGCUGAAAGUGCCACUGGUGUCCGUCACGGACCCUGGGAAGGCCAGCAUAGCAGAGACCCGCAAGUCAGGAGACCUGCCGAAGACGAACACCCAGU
rnacentral:ncRNA from 1 species